GCUCUCAAAACUCAACCCUAAAAUUCAAGAAAAUCAUCAAAUUGAAGGGGCAAAUCAAGCCCGAAUCGAAAUCCAAGCAUAGAUUAGUGAUCACCUCAGUAAAGGGAUCAUGAGUUUGACUCAGGACAAGCUAGAUGGAGGCUUGGGAGGAAGCGGGUCAAACGAAACAAGAAAGAAGAAAAGGCGUAACUUGGAUACAAGGUGAAUGUCAAGAGUGCCCGGAUGAAGAUCAAGCUCGAUGAAGAACCGAACACAUGAUAACGAAGCUUCCGCAUUAAACUUUGUUUUGAUUUCAUAAUAUGAAUUAUGGAAACACUUAAGAUUGGUAUUAUGAAUGUUUCAAACUUGUGUGAACAUUCUUGAUGGAAAAGUUUUUAUUA